rnacentral:rRNA from 1 species
CCUACGGGUGGCUGCAGUGGGGAAUAUUGGACAAUGGGCGAAAGCCUGAUCCAGCCAUGCCGCGUGUGUGAAGAAGGCCUUCGGGUUGUAAAGCACUUUCAGUGGGGAAGAAAGCCUUGGGGCUAAUACCCUCGAGGAAGGACAUCACCCACAGAAGAAGCACCGGCUAACUCCGUGCCAGCAGCCGCGGUAAUACGGAGGGUGCGAGCGUUAAUCGGAAUUACUGGGCGUAAAGCGCGCGUAGGCGGUCUGAUAAGCCGGUUGUGAAAGCCCCGGGCUCAACCUGGAAACGGCAUCCGGAACUGUCAGGCUAGAGUGCAGGAGAGGAAGGUAGAAUUCCCGGUGUAGCGGUGAAAUGCGUAGAGAUCGGGAGGAAUACCAGUGGCGAAGGCGGCCUUCUGGACUGACACUGACGCUGAGGUGCGAAAGCGUGGGUAGCAAACAGGAUUAGAUACCCCUGUAGUC